UGGCCGGCCAUAGCAAGAACAAAGGAAGAAAAGAAGAGCACAAACCCUAGGUGGAAAAAUUCAAGGGAAAAGUGUGAAAAUUCAAGUAAUCAAGCAAUCAAAGGUAAAAUUUCUUGAUUUUGACUUGCGAUCUACCUUUUCCAUACAUUAUUUUGCAUUUUCCAUGGUUGAAUCACAAGAAAUCAUGAAGGAUUCAUGGCUGACUGAAUUUAGAGAAAGAAGAUUUGAUGGUUGUUUUGGUUAGAUUUUAAGAUAUUCUAGUGUUUUUAGUUAGUUAGUGAUGUGUAGAAUACUGUGUUUAGACGAUAAUCCGAACAAUUUGCAUCCCAUUUCAUACAUUAGUAUUAAAGACUGAAUUGGUUUUAUAACAAUUUAGCAUAAUGUAGUAAAUGGCUUAUUGUGCAUUAUGUCUAGGUGGUGAGCAUUCUGGCAAAAGUAAAGAGAUAGUACCCGAGGAAUCAAGAAUCGGAGUACUUGGAAUUCGACUCCCGAAAUAGUGAGUAACCUUACUAUCAUCUUAAUUAUCUAAAGUAUAUUUUAUUUGAUUUUGUGAAUUUUAUGGAAAAUGAAUUAAAUGAUUAAUUUUUCAGUUUUAUAAACCAAAUGUGAUUUAAUGAAAUGAUUUCAUAAAAUUGUUUUAAAAUUGAAUGAUGGUUUGAAAAUAGAGUAAUUGGAGACUGUUUUUGUAUGUUGUAAAUUCAUGAAUCUAAUUGAUUAGCUUAUGGCAAUAUUGGUAUGAAUGGUUGAUUUGAUAAAUGUGUUGGAAAUGUAUAAAUUGUUGAUUUGCCUUGCAAGGCUGUAAAAUGAAAUAAAAUAUUUGCCAUGUCAUGCUAUUGCAAAUUUUAUUGAAUUGAUGGGUUAUAUAUUGGUCGCUACAGUGGACAGGUUUCGUGGACCAGCCUAUUAGAGGGGCACGGUAACCUUAUUAUAUUCAUACCUCAGUAUGAGAGGCGCGGUUGGAUAACUUUUGAGGUUAAAACUUUAGAGUUCACUUCACGCCAAACCACCACGUGAGGGUGAACUCAGCCAACGCCAAGGAACGACUAUGUUUUCAAAAUAAAAACAAAAUUUAUGCGUACAUAACUUUUUAACAGCCUUGGCAAACUCGGUUGGGAUAGCCCUCGGCCAAGGUAUCCCUAAUAACUGAGUAUGAGAAUGAUUUUGGCACGAGCUAGAGUUUUAAGAAAUUCAUAAGCCAUGUUGAUUACUCGAUUUAUAUGAAUUGAUUUUAUUUGGUUGAAAUGAGUUGAAAGGUGAUGAAUUACAGUAUGUUUGAAUUUAUUUAGCUUUUACGCUACAAAAACUAUUUACCAGUAACUCUAUAAAUAUUAUUUUAUAAGAAAAUAGAAUAUUUUAUUGAAUAUUUUUAUUAUGUUCACAUAGUUAUAAUUUCACUUAAAAUGAAUGUUUUAGACAUCUAAACUUAUUUUUGAUUAUGAAUUUUGUGUUUUAUACUCGUAUGCUACAUUUUUAACUGGUUUCGAAAUUUUUGAAAAAAAUGACCAAAAUACCCUUGUGUAGUUGAAAUUUCUCUUUGACUGUUUUUGAACUGAAAUUGGUUCAUAUCACUUUAAAACAUGAUUUUAGUAACUAAUACUCGCAGGGGAAGCGAGAAAACUAAUGUUAAGCCUUGCGAGGUAUCGAUUGGCAUUCCGGGUAAUGAAUGUCUAUCGGGACAUCGCGACGAUUAUCACGGGCUCGAUGGGAGUUUCGGGUCAUAACAAGUUCUGCCAUGGAUCUUGUGAAAGCAAGCACUAAGUUAUGUGAUUAUAAAAAGAAAGCUGUAAGCUGAGAGUGAUAUUAGUAUUAAUAUUGAAAAGUACUUAAGGAGAAUCUAGUUUCAAGUUUUACAAUUUUAAGUGCAAUUUAUAAAUUGGUUAAGGGAGAAUGAUGUUAUGUUCAUAUGAAAGACUGGAACAAAGGAUGAUUGAAGUUGACCUUGAUAAUGAAGUCAGAUAAUGAAACUUUCCUAAUAUAUUAUGGAAAUUAGAAUUCGAAAAUGCUUGAGGCAUACAUGAUUCAAAUGAGUUUGAGUUUUAAGUGACAAAUCAAUAUCCGAAUGCAAGAAGGAUACAAGGUAAUGUAGAGGCAUGAAAUAUAAUCGAGGAAUAGGGAUGACUCUUAGGAAUUGUGGUAUUGCAUGAGAUGCAAUGAUGAAGUUAAGAAAAUUUUUGAAGUAUCAAUGGGAUUAUAAAGCAUACACGCAUAAUAGAUUAUAAUUCAAUGGAGAUAACAUUGUGAUGCAAUGAUAUAUAGUACAAGAAAACUUAAGCAUAUAAUUGGAAAUGAUAAGAAGAGAGUAUAAGUAUGUAAUGAUGUGAAACUAUGCACAGGCAUGAUGAGAAUUUGUAUGAAUUACGAAAACUAUUCUAUUGAAUCUUGGUUAUGGAUAGGAAUGAACAAAAAGAAAUUAGUCUGAAGGUAUUUGUAAAGAGAGACCCAUAUAUGUCAAGCCUGACUGUAUAAAAUACUUGCCAUGUCAUUCAUGUGAUUGACAAUAUGCUUGCAUACUAGGAAAGCCCCGAAAACUUGUAAAAAGUCGAUAGUGUACUUAAUAGUACAACUAAGUUGAAUUAAGCCUCGAACUAGAUCAAAUGAAGAUUUUAAGGUGAAAUUUAAAAUUUUAAGUUUUCAGAAUAACUUAAAAUGGUGAUUCAGAGUUUGAGAACCGAUUUGGAGUCAAAUUGGAAUUUUCAUGAUCUGGGGGCAAAAUGGUCAUUUCGCCACCUGAGGUUGAGAUGUGAGAGUUAGAUGAAAUUUUUGACUAAGAUUGAUCAUUUGGGGUAUAAUUUGAGUUUGAGAAGUGAAGAAUUUUAAUUUCGGUGUUUUUCGAGGAUAGGGGUAAAAUGGUCAUUUUGCCACCCCAAGGGCAAAAUGGUAAUUUUACACACCCAACACUUGUCAUGCUGAUAGAAUUCAUCCAUUGACUUUUUAUGUUAUGGAUAAGUGAGGUAAUAUAUGUGAUGGAGAUAAAAAGUUUAAAAUUUUAAAGUUUUAAAAAUGGACCAAUAAUAAAAUGACACUUGUCAAGCUUAGAAUAUUUUAUUAUUUCCUUUAAAAAUUAGCCUAUAAACGUCUCACUUCUCUCCAAAUAUUCGGCCAAGCAAGGAAAAGAGGGAAACAAAGAAAGAACAAGUGGAGAAUUUCAAGAGAAAAAGCGUGGAAAAUCAAGGAAAACAAGUGAAAAAGGUAAGAUUUUUCAAUUUAAACUUGAAAUCUAUUUUCCUUAAGCAUUUCUCCUUAUUUUCCAUGGCUAAAUUUCAUGUUUUCAUGGUGAAUUCAUGGCUAGCCGAAUGGGUAUGGAGAGAGAAUGAUGUUGGAUUGAUUUGAUUUCAAGUUACGUUAGUGUUUUUAGUUAGUUUACCAUGUCUAGAAGCAAAACAAUAAGAAAAGAAUUCAUUUUCCCCAUUGCCCAUCAAUGGCCGAACCUACCUUGUAUUGAGUGAGGAUGAAUUUGAUUUUUAUUUUAAGAGAAUUGGUUAGAAAAUGAUGAAUUAUGGUGUGGAAAAGUAGUAGGAAAAAUUACGGUGUUAAUGCACCAUUAUUGACCGAAAACUCUAAGAAGAAAAGUGAAGAUGGUUUUGCCAAAUUUUAGGUUAUUUGACUUAUGUUUGUUGAAUUAAGGUAUUGGAAAAGAAAUGGAGCAAUUUGGAGCUAAAUUGGACGCAUUGGCCAAUUAAUAGGGUGAUAAGACGAAUUAGGCCAAUACCGAGUUUAGAUGGUUACCCGUGCAUUUUACAUUCCAUAUCAUGCAUUAGUAGUCUAAAUUACUUUAAUUUCGAUUUAGUACCAAUGUAGUAAGUUUCUCGAUUUUGUACUAUGUUAAGGUGGUGAGUCCUCUGAUAAAGGCGAGGAAAUUGCAUCCGAGGACCAGUAGUCAGAGUACUUCGAAAAUCCGCACUCUAGACAUUGUGACUAAACUUACUGUCAUUUUAAUUAUCUAGGGUGGCUUUUAGAUGAUUUUAUGAAUUCUAUGGAAAAAUGGAUUUAAAAAGGUAAAUUUUCAUGUUUUAUGAAUAAAUGUGUUUCAAUUAAAUUAAUUUAUAAAUUGUUUUGAAAUUAAUGAUGGUUUUGAAAAAUAAAGUACACGGAGACUGCUAUUUGUUGCAAUUUGAUUGUUUAAAUUGAUUGGCUUAUGAUAAAUCGGGCAUGAUUGGUUGGUUGGCAAUUGUAUUGAAAUACGGAUUGUUUGUUUGCCUUGAAAGGCUGUGUAUUACAAUAAUUACCAUAUCAUGUUAUUGAAUUUUAUUGAUUGGUGGGAUAAUUAUUAGCUUACUGUAGUAGGCGGGUUCCGAGGACCAACCUAUGAGAGGGGCAUGGUAACCCUGUUUAUAUGUGCUCAGCUCGGUUGUAGAGGCGUGUAGGGCAGCUGUUGAGGUGAUAUUUGAGUUCACUUCGCGCCGAACCACCACGUGAUGGUGAACUCAGCGAACGCCAAGGAAUGACUGUGAUGUCCAACGAAAAAUGUGUUUUAUGCGAAAUGUGAAUUUUUAACAACCUUGGCUAUCUUGGUAGGAUGCCUUGGCCAAGGUGUCCCCGAGGAUAGAUUUAUGGCACAAGCCUAGUUUUUAUGAGAUUCAUAAGCCUCGUUACGUAUUUUGAAUGAAAUGUGUUCUAAUGCUAUGACCCAGUUUACGAUGAUUUAUUUUAUUAUCUUCAUGUACUCAACUUUAGAUGUUUAUGAUGAUGUCUGUUUACUCGCUAGGAUUUUAUAAUCUC
rnacentral:lncRNA from 1 species